rnacentral:tRNA from 1 species
GCGGCCGUGCUGGAAGGGUAGACAGUCGGCGCUUAGAACGCCGUGGGCGAAAGCCCGUGUGGGUUCGAAUCCCACCGGCCGCACCG